rnacentral:lncRNA from 1 species
ACAAAUUAUUAAAGAUGUAAAGAUACGAUGUCCCACCACGUUGACAACUUUCUAUAUCGUAAUUUAAUGAAAUAAGUAUAUUUCAUUCUCUCAUUAUUGUAUGAUUGAUAGGAUAAAGUCUUGUAAAUCUGUAUAUAUAAGUUACAUCUGGGGUUCGGAAGGCCAGCAUCUUACUGUUCCAAUUUAUGAUUAUACUAUGUUAUUGCUGAUAUUUGCAUGCGUUAUUUAUUGAGAGAUAUAUAUAUAUAUGCAUACUGGACAAGAAUAAAAGUCAUUCUUUUACGCUGGAUUCAUCAUUUUAUAUAUGAUUAUGCUGGAAUCAACAAACUACACUCAAAACAAGACUAAGGAAAGGAACACUAUCAAUAAUCAAUCAUACGGAAUUAAAAGUACACUCGACCCCUACUCGCCCGCC